UGCGAGUCGACACAGCAAUGUGUGGCAUACGGCUCAGUAACACGUAGUCAACAUGCCCAGGGGACGUGGAUAACCUCGGGAAACUGAGGAUAAACCGCGAUAGGUCACUACUUCUGGAAUGGGUAAUGACCCAAACCUAUAUGGCCCCUGGAUUGGACUGCGGCCGAUCAGGCUGUUGGUGAGGUAAUGGCCCACCAAACCUGUAACCGGUACGGGCUCUGAGAGGAGGAGCCCGGAGAUGGGCACUGAGACAAGGGCCCAGGCCCUAUGGGGCGCAGCAGGCGCGAAACCUCUGCAAUAGGCGAAAGCUUGACAGGGUUACUCUGAGUGAUUUCCGUUAAGGAGAUCUUUUGGCACCUCUAAAAAUGGUGCAGAAUAAGGGGUGGGCAAGUCUGGUGUCAGCCGCCGCGGUAAUACCAGCACCCCGAGUGGUCGGGACGUUUAUUGGGCCUAAAGCAUCCGUAGCCGGUUCUACAAGCCUUCCGUUAAAUCCACCUGCUCAACAGAUGGGCUGCGGAAGAUACUAUGGAGCUAGGAGGCGGGAGAGGCAAGCGAUACUCGAUGGGUAGGGGUAAAAUCCGUUGAUCCAUUGAAGACCACCAGUGGCGAAGGCGGCUUGCCAGAACGCGCUCGACGGUGAGGGAUGAAAGCUGGGGGAGCAAACCGGAUUAGAUACCCGGGUAGUCCCAGCUGUAAACGAUGCAGGCUCGGUGAUGAGUUGGCUUUAUGCCAACUCAGUGCCGCAGGGAAGCCGUUAAGUUUGCCGCCUGGGGAGUACGGUCGCAGACUGAAACU
rnacentral:rRNA from 1 species